GUUGUAUCAGUGGAAGCCAAUGAAAAUUGAGGCCAGGAAAUAUAGUGAACCUUCAGCUCAACUACUUCUCUAACCAUGGGGUCUCAGCAUGUAGUGAGUAGCUGGUGUCGUGGUUCAGCAGGAUGUCAGUGGCUUGGGACUGUCCUGCAUGACUUUUGCUUCUGCUGUGUUAUCCAGCCUCAAUUCUGCCUACUUCUUAUCCUGCGUGUUUUGGAGCUGGAAUCUGUCAUCACUGGCCUCUGCUUGGUGUUUCCUUCAGGCUUUAUCAUCAAGUGGAAGUGAAAUGAUGAAGAGAAGGAAAUAUUCAGAUCUGGACUUUUUUUUUCUUCAUGGAAAAAAAAAAUCUAAAAGCAUUUGAAAGAAUCAUCUCUCAGCUGGAUUGCUACACCUCCAAAGCAAGAUGUGCCAAAGGAAAUGACAAGGCUGGAUGGGUGAGAAAUGCAGGAUAUUGAAGACAGAAGUUUGAGCAGGUUACUGAAAAACACUUACUCCUUACUAGCUUCUGUUGAAGCCCGGUACAUAUACAGUUUUUCCAUUAGUCACACUAACACCACACCACUGGUUAUGGGGUUGUUUCAUUUGUCUUUUAGUAGAACUUUGUUUUUUCUUUGUCUUAAUGAAAUGAAACAAAAAGUUAUGGAGUAAAACAAGGUUAUGGAGUAAAGUCAGGAGCAGAACCUGGAAAUCCUGCUUCUCAGUUCCUUACAGCAUUCACUUCAAGACCUUGAAAUGUAAUCCUGAGGGUAACUUGCAGUCAAGAGAAGUUUGAAACUUCUACUUAAUAGCUGCCUUUCCUGAGCAUGAUUAGAAUGUAAUCCUUAAAAACAUUUUAUACAUGAUAAAUAUAAAUGUUCUAGGUCACAGAUAUGGAUAAAUUAAUGUUCAAUUUUCAGUAUGGGAAAGCAUGUUCAUCUUUGGAACUGGUGACCAUAAAAAUUGAGAUAAAAAAUAGAGGAUUAAAUUAACAGACAGGAUUAGGCAUUUAGUGCACUUCAUCAUUGCCCUAUGGAGUGCAAGUUGAACUACUAGUUUUAAACCGUAUUUGCUGCAGGUGGAUUUCUGUUUUUGGUUAGUUCCCAAUUUACUACUGGUUCUGUGUCACUACAUUGACAGAUAACCUGCAUGUAAAUGUUUAUAUAUUGAAGACUUUGAAUAUUUUUGGACUACUUUGGUUGUUAGAUAUUUUACUUUGCUGUUGGUUGUUAGCUCUGUUGCCUGAGUGAUUAACAAGAGAUUGAAGUGAAAAGUAAACUGUGAAUUGCAGGUAAGAACUUGCAGAUGAAUCAAGAGAUGAGUUUGAGAAUUCAUGAAGCAAAGAAAGAAAGAAACAUUUUUAUGGAUACUGGAAUACUUAUAAAUUGGUACCUUAUAAGAUCUGAUGAUACACAAAGUUGUGUAUUUGCUGUUUAAAGAAUGAUCUCUCAACUCUCAUGCCUGAAGCCUGGUAUUACAUAUUGUUUAAAGUGAAGAGUGUUUUCCUAUCUCAUUCCUUCUGUGCUUCUUAAAGAAACAUUGCAGCAGCAGGUUCUUUGAAUUAAUUCAACAUUGCUUUCCAGAUUUAGGAUUGUGUACAGCAGCAUCCAUGUUGCCAACCAGUACUUCUGUGUUUAACAAACAUUUAAAGUGGUAUUUUUUCUUAACCUCACUUAGCAUUUGCCUGCAACUUGGAACUUAGUAAUUAGAAUCUAUUUGUGAAUCCAUGUUUUAUCGUUUUACUGUCCUGACCUAAAGCAGAUAGGGACUUGGUGUCUCCAAAACAGAUGCAUAGUUUUAGUCAGUAUUUCCGAUAUAGUUGUAUUUCAUCACUUCUAGUCAAACUUCCUAAAAUAUCUCCUUUGCUGUUACCCUAUAUUAACUAAAAUGAAUGACUGAAUGCAGCUUGUACUCCUCAAAUGUGUUUGAGGACAUUUGCAAUAUUAACACUAUUACGCUCAUACUACAGGAUAUGACUUGCUACUGGAAAGACCACCCAGGAAUAGGAUGUAUGUUACUCAGUGGUUGUUUUCACUGAUCAUAGAUGAUCCUUUUGUAUUUAAUGUUUAAAAGUCACAAAAUUAUAACUUAUUCUUCUUUCUCUGAAUUAGCUAUCCUAAACAUAAGUAGUGGUGUCUGGAGGGAAAUAAGUGUAUGCUAGUAAAUGCACAUGCGUACUUCUAAGGGGAGGAAUUUAGCAGUGCUGGGUGGCUUGUUUGUACCACAUGGCCUUAAUCUAAAGUACCUCUGACUAAUACCCUUUCUCUGUAGGAACAGUUCUGACAGACUAUCCCUUGUCAGGGUUAUGAAUGUGUCCCAAGUGUGAAAUGCAGAAAUAAGUAUUCUCCUUCAGGUACCUCAUUGUGGUACCUCAUAGGUUAGAGGUUGGACUCGAUGAUCUUGAGGUCUCUUCCAACCUAGAAAUUCUGUGAUUCUGUGUGAUUCUGUAUUAACUAAACACAUCUCAGUCUUGAGAUUUCUGCUUAUAAUUCUGCAUGACAUGUAUUAUGCAAUUUUUCUUAAGGAUGGAGGGAGAACCUAAGACACUAUCAAGACGAGAAUUGAUAAUUACAUUUAAUAGUGUUGCUGGGGUGAGGUGGUGGGCCUAUGGGCUGCUGCAGGGAAAGUUAACAUUCCAGCCAGACCCAGUAUAGGAGAGAAGAGCUGCUCUGUUCUGAAAACGUUUUCUCCAGUUUAUUGUUGAGGCAUGUCAAAUAACUGCAGUUUUGGAGAAAUUGCCUCCCCUCUGUGAUAGCUUUUCAGUGAAUAAACAGGUUUUUAUUCUCCAGAGCUGAGUACUUUAUGCCAACCCUAUAUUCCCAUAGGAAUUCAUAUUCAUCUUUUUUAUUCUUCCCUUAGUGCUGGAGAGAGUGAUUUUCUUGAUUGUCACAUUUGUGUGAAUGAAUUUGUUCUGAGUUAAGUUUCUUAAACUGGCCAUGAAUGCUAUCAAGCUGGGUCCAUUAAUGACAAAUUACACAUUACUGUUGUCUUGUGAAUUUGCCAGUUGCUAGUGACACAUCAAUCACUACCAGGUAUGAGUACUAUGCAAUUUAAUAUUUUAGGGUUUGGCUAAGUGUCAGGACAAGGGUAGCAUUGGCAACUUGAGGAGGAAUGUAGUUGUGUGUACACAGUGGUACAGUAGGUAAUGGUGCUUCCAGUAUCUAAUCUUUCGUGCAUCUGUUUGGCAUAUUGAGAGACUAUUGUUAUGCAAAUACAGCCUCUGAUUAUUCCAUUAAAAGAUUGUUCAUUUGAAAUGGAACAAAAUUCAUCCAAAAAGAGAUUUGCAAAGCAUUCUGCUUGUUACUUUGGGGAGGAAGAAGAGGGAAGAAACUGCAAACCUGGAAAACUGGCAAGCACUCUGAGAUCUCAGUGGAAAGGGAAGUUGCUGAUGUGACAGGGCAAAAGAUGUCCAUUUUUAUACAGAACUGAUAUGGUACAGACAAUAACAUCUGAUGCUGCUUGAGUGUGCCAGUGGAGGAGAUGGUAUGCCAAGGAAAUGUAAUGCUAUCCCUCGUGGAAUAUUCAACAGCAGAUGUGUACACAUUCCUUGCAAAGAUGAACUUUCUGAAGCUUGGCAGUUGGUACUAAGUAAUCUCCUCUGCCUGUCAAGAAAUUUUUUCUAGGUCUGGAAAUCACUCUGUACCUAUUUAGUACCUGUAGGAAGCAGUUUGGUAUUCUCUCUUGACACAGAUUGACUGAAGACAAUUAAAAUGAACUCAGUUAAAAUGUCUGUGGUAAGUUGCAAUAUUUUAGAGAAACACUUUAAAAAAAAGUGCUUACCAGUAGGUAUCCUUUUUCUAUUUUUCUUCCUCUGUCCAGUGGCAAUCUUAAGCAAAACUCAUUUUACUAAUUAUUGAAAAUUGGAUGAAAUAUUGUAGAAACCUUAUUAGUUUAUAUUCAAUAUGGGUUUUCAGUAGGGCAUGGUCAACACUGCUUCUUUGUUAGUAUGGAAUAGCCUCCCUGAAUUGGACUAGAGUUUGUCUUCACUGUACAUGUGAUUUGUCUUAACAGUAUGAUGGGGAAAGAUGAAGGUGGUUCUCAUUAUUACAGUUAAUGUGUUUCAUAUUGUUAUUUUAUUUAAAUAUUAAGUACUUCUAAUGGUGGAAUUUCACAUUCUUUUAAUUUCAAAGUUUAAACCUUGAGGACUUUUAAAUAAACUUGACCAAAGACUUGCAUUUUUUACUCAGUGGAAAGCAAAUUUUUAACUAAAAACUUGUACAGAAUGUCUUUUUUUUAAAAAAAAAAAAAAAAAAAAAAGGCAGACUUCUCCAGUUCCCUGUUCAACACACCUUUUGGAGUUCUUUGGUUUAGUGAAAACUCAACACAUUCAAAUUACGUAGUGCAUUAUAAUGGGAAGACCAAUAUAGGCAGUUAAAUAUCACUUCCUCUAAAUGAGUGUUUUCUAAGCCUGAUAUUCUGAGGGUUGAAGCCUUAUAUUAUUUUAGAACUCAGGUUAACAAAUUUAAAUGUAUAUCUGAAGACUGUUCCAUGCUAUGGAUCUAUAUGCCUUAAUAUACUAGCUCUAUAUAGAUAUAACAAACUAUAUAGGUGGGAAGUUCCCUGUAAUUGGAACUCUAGUCCUUCCCAUAAGCAUCUCAAGCUCAAGGUCUUCAUGAUAGCUUGGGGCAGAAAUUCUCAGCUUCUAUAUAUAUGUUGUGGCAAAAAUAAAAUAAAGCACCUCUUUGUCUGAAUAUUCUACUUCAUGGUGGCUCCUCCCGUACUGUAACAGGGUGGCACUCCUGUUUUUCUUCUAUGUUGAUUUUAUACAAGUCUUCCAAAUAUGUUGCAUUUCUCUUUAGGUGAAUAUAGAUUUUGACAAUAUAAUUGUUUUUGAACAUCAGAUUCAUUUUUGCUACCUCUUUUCCUGCCUUUCUCCCUCCAAAAAAAAAAACCCACCUUCGGAUUGUUCUGUUUUCCUGUUGCUGUAGAUAAAGCCUUACUGUAGCCUUUGUUUCACUUUCCUUGCAGUAUCUUAACCAAGUGUUCACUUGCUCAGCUAGUACAAUUAUCCUUGCCACUAGAUUCUCUUCUGCCUGUUGCUGUGCAUCUCAAGCAGUUGCAUUGACAUUAUUGCAUAUUCAUCUAGGUAAAAUGCAUUAGUUGACUCAGUCCCGGGGCACAAUAACAUCCCUGUCUCUGGACAGCAGAAUUAUCUACUAGGAGCAAUCAAAGAACUGAGUACAUUAUCUCUUCCAGCUUGACUUUCCAGUCUUAUGCAUUGAGCACUUUUUAUUCUGCACAUCAGAUAUCCAUAAGACAAUUCACAAAACUGUUCCUCAGUGGCUUGGGGCUUCAC
rnacentral:lncRNA from 1 species